GACGAACGCUGGCGGCGCGCCUAACACAUGCAAGUCGAACGGAGCUGAGAGAAGCUUGCUUUUCUUAGCUUAGUGGCGAACGGGUGAGUAACGCGUGAGUAACCUGCCCUGGAGUGGGGGACAACAGUUGGAAACGACUGCUAAUACCGCAUAAGCCCACGAUCCGGCAUCGGAUUGAGGGAAAAGGAUUUAUUCGCUUCAGGAUGGACUCGCGUCCAAUUAGCUAGUUGGUGAGGUAACGGCCCACCAAGGCGACGAUUGGUAGCCGGACUGAGAGGUUGAACGGCCACAUUGGGACUGAGACACGGCCCAGACUCCUACGGGAGGCAGCAGUGGGGGAUAUUGCACAAUGGGGGAAACCCUGAUGCAGCGACGCCGCGUGGAGGAAGAAGGUUUUCGGAUUGUAAACUCCUGUCGUUAGGGACGAUAAUGACGGUACCUAACAAGGAAGCACCGGCUAACUACGUG
rnacentral:rRNA from 1 species